AGCCUCAAGUCUGCAUAGAAAGCGCAUUUAAUCCUUUUUUAACUGGGUGAGGUUGCCUCUUGGGACCCCCAGUUGAUAGAUGAGAAGCACCUGACUUUGAAAAGGAACCGAACUCAAGCAGGCUGCAUCCUAAGCCCGAUUUGCCAAGUUGUUUCUCAUUAAACCUAAACCAACUCUUCAGCCGCGCCGCCUCGGGGACCGUAAGCCCCGCUCUGGUGGACGCCUGGAGUCGCCGCCUCCCGAGAGUCCACACCCCAUCUUGUCUCCAGCCUGCGCUGGGAAGAAGCUGAGGUCUGGAGGUCUUCCUCUGAAGGAGCACAGUCCAGGGAGCCACAGAAGGCUGCCUUGAGGAGUGGAACUGCUUCAGGGAUCAAUGCAAAGUGUCCCCUGUCAGGAGAAAAACCACUCAGAGGAGAGAUGGGACCUCAGUAUGUUUGCCAUGCUGGUAUCCAGCUUCUGGCCUCAAGUGAUCCUCCCGACUCAGCCUUCUAAAGUGGCAGGAUUACAGGCAUGAACCAACAUGCCCAGCCCAGAGAAAUCAACUCCUGUGUGCCAAGAUUAGGUAAGUUUUUCUCUGACCAUUACAUAUGAACUAGAAUUCGAGAGAAAUUACAUGUCCACAGUAACCUAAACUCCUCUCAGAGAGCUUGC
rnacentral:lncRNA from 10 species